AGUGAACGCUGGCGGUAGGCCUAACACAUGCAAGUCGAACGGCAGCACAGUAAGAGCUUGCUCUUACGGGUGGCGAGUGGCGGACGGGUGAGGAAUACAUCGGAAUCUACUUUUUCGUGGGGGAUAACGUAGGGAAACUUACGCUAAUACCGCAUACGACUUACGGGUGAAAGCAGGGGAUCUUCGGACCUUGCGCGAUUGAAUGAGCCGAUGUCGGAUUAGCUAGUUGGCGGGGUAAAGGCCCACCAAGGCGACGAUCCGUAGCUGGUCUAAGAGGAUGAUCAGCCACACUGGAACUGAGACACGGUCCAGACUCCUACGGGAGGCAGCAGUGGGGAAUAUUGGACAAUGGGCGCAAGCCUGAUCCAGCCAUACCGCGUGGGUGAAGAAGGCCUUCGGGUUGUAAAGCCCUUUUGUUGGGGAAGAAAAGCAGCAGGUUAAUACCCCGCUGUUCUGACGGUACCCAAAGAAUAAGCACCGGCUAACUUCGUG
rnacentral:rRNA from 1 species